GCUACUCUCUCUUCCAGUUUUCUUCUUCCCACCUAUGUGUGUGCUUAUGUUCUCUGAGUGUUGCAUUCAACUCGUUCCAGCGGGGCUGCGUGCUCCGCCCAGGUCACCUCACAGUCUCUUGAGGUCCAGCCCGUAUCAGAUGUCCUUGACCAGCAUCGUGGUUGUGGCUGGCACGGUGGUCACCCAAUGCAAAACGUGAAGACCCACCUUUCUCAGAAGGCGCUAUGUCACCGGUUUCAUGGCCAGUCUGGUGUUGACGUGAUGCGUGAGUUGGAGAUGCCCCUGAGAUCUGGGUGAAGCUGAAGGUGCUAUGAUCCUGAGUCUACCCCCCACCCCCGACCUAAUCCAAGAUGAAAGGAGUAACACAUGUUAUUAAGCCUACUCUUUAGCAUGCACAGGAAGAAAACACAUCCUCAGUGGUGGUCAAAGCACAUUUGCCCAAAGCAACAACAAAUCCCAACAGCCUUUCCUGAUGGCGUGGGUUUCCCGCCAAACCUAAGACCUGAGGAGUUUGGGCCCUUGGGAUCUGCACGCCAGCUUGAUUUGGGUUGAACAAUCGGGCCCUCGCUGGGGAGCCCCACAGCUCCUCACCCCAGAGGCUGCAAUGCAGGCUCUGUCUCCCUGGGUCUGCACCCUGCCUUGGCCUCCAGGUGUGCCAUGUUCUUCCUCCAGGACCUGUGAAUAAAGAACCUCUACUUCAAUGUCUCCUGUGGCUUGCCAUCUGCCAUCCUCUGCUCCACUUAACAAAUGCUAAUUUAACAAAGUCAGAGCGUGAGGCCAGACCCAGACUGAGGGACGUCCUCCAACAUGACUGGCCUUGAAAUCUUCAGAAGAUUGCAGGCCUCAUGAAAGAAAAACCAAGGAAGGACUAAAGCGGUUCCAGACUGGGGGAGACAAGACACAACCAACUGUAACUCAGUUCUGGGCUGAAUGGUUUCACCAUAAAGGACAUGAUUGGGACA